GCCGUCAUAGCUCAGUUGGUAGAGCACUUCCAUGGUAAGGAAGAGGUCGCCGGUUCGAUUCCGUUUGACGGCUCCA
rnacentral:tRNA from 1 species